rnacentral:rRNA from 1 species
CCUACGGGUGGCAGCAGUGAGGAAUAUUGGGCAAUGGGGGCAACCCUGACCCAGCCAUGCCGCGUGAGUGAAGAAGGUCUUCGGAUUGUAAAGCUCUUUCGGACGUGACGAUGAUGACGGUAGCGUCUAACGACGCACCGGCAAACUUCGUGCCAGCCGCCGCGGCACUACGAAGGGUGCGAGCGUUGUUCGGAAUUACUGGGCGUAAAGGGAGUGUAGGCGGAUAUGUAAGAUAGCGGUGAAAUGCCGGGGCUCAACCCCGGAACUGCCAUUAUGACUAUGUAUCUAGAGUAUUGGAGAGGAUAGCGGAAUACGCAGUGUAGAGGUGAAAUGCGUAGAUAUUGGGUAGAACACCGGUGGCGAAGGCGGCUAGCUGGCCAUUGACUGACGCUGAGGCUCGAAAGCAUGGGGAUCAAACAGGAUUAGAUACCCCAGUAGUC